rnacentral:rRNA from 1 species
AUGAACGCUAGCUACAGGCUUAACACAUGCAAGUCGAGGGGCAGCAUGAUUGAAGCUUGCUUCAAUCGAUGGCGACCGGCGCACGGGUGAGUAACACGUAUCCAACCUGCCGAUAACUCGGGGAUAGCCUUUCGAAAGAAAGAUUAAUACCCGAUAGCAUAGUUUUUCCGCAUGGUUUCACUAUUAAAGAAUUUCGGUUAUCGAUGGGGAUGCGUUCCAUUAGAUAGUUGGCGGGGUAACGGCCCACCAAGUCAACGAUGGAUAGGGGUUCUGAGAGGAAGGUCCCCCACAUUGGAACUGAGACACGGUCCAAACUCCUACGGGAGGCAGCAGUGAGGAAUAUUGGUCAAUGGACGAGAGUCUGAACCAGCCAAGUAGCGUGAAGGAUGACUGCCCUAUGGGUUGUAAACUUCUUUUAUACGGGAAUAAAGUGGAGUAUGCAUACUCCUUUGUAUGUACCGUAUGAAUAAGGAUCGGCUAACUCCGUGCCAGCAGCCGCGGUAAUACGGAGGAUCCGAGCGUUAUCCGGAUUUAUUGGGUUUAAAGGGAGCGUAGGCGGGUGCUUAAGUCAGUUGUGAAAGUUUGCGGCUCAACCGUAAAAUUGCAGUUGAUACUGGGCGCCUUGAGUGCAGCAUAGGUAGGCGGAAUUCGUGGUGUAGCGGUGAAAUGCUUAGAUAUCACGAAGAACUCCGAUUGCGAAGGCAGCUUACUGGACUGUAACUGACGCUGAUGCUCGAAAGUGUGGGUAUCAAACAGGAUUAGAUACCCUGGUAGUCCACACAGUAAACGAUGAAUACUCGCUGUUGGCGAUACACAGUCAGCGGCCAAGCGAAAGCAUUAAGUAUUCCACCUGGGGAGUACGCCGGCAACGGUGAAACUCAAAGGAAUUGACGGGGGCCCGCACAAGCAGUGGAGUAUGUGGUUUAAUUCGACGCAACGCGAAGAACCUUACCAAGUCUUGACAUCCCUUGACGAACAUAGAAAUAUGUUUUCUCUUCGGAGCAAGGAGACAGGUGGUGCAUGGUUGUCGUCAGCUCGUGCCGUGAGGUGUCGGCUUAAGUGCCAUAACGAGCGCAACCCUUAUCUAUAGUUACUAUCAGGUCAUGCUGAGGACUCUAUGGAGACUGCCGUCGUAAGAUGUGAGGAAGGUGGGGAUGACGUCAAAUCAGCACGGCCCUUACGUCCGGGGCUACACACGUGUUACAAUGGGGGGUACAGAAGGCAGCUACCUGGCGACAGGAUGCUAAUCCCUAAAACCUCUCUCAGUUCGGAUUGGAGUCUGCAACCCGACUCCAUGAAGCUGGAUUCGCUAGUAAUCGCGCAUCAGCCACGGCGCGGUGAAUACGUUCCCGGGCCUUGUACACACCGCCCGUCAAGCCAUGAAAGCCGGGGGUACCUGAAGUACGUAACCGCAAGGAGCGUCCUAGGGUAAAACUGGUGAUUGGGGCU